rnacentral:rRNA from 1 species
ACAGCAGCAGCCGCGGGAAUACGAAGGGUGCAAGCGUUAAUCGGAAUUACUGGGCGUAAAGCGUGCGUAGGCGGUGAGUUAAGUCUGCUGUGAAAUCCCCGGGCUCAACCUGGGAAUGGCAGUGGAUACUGGCUCGCUAGAGUGUGUCAGAGGAUGGUGGAAUUCCCGGUGUAGCGGUGAAAUGCGUAGAGAUCGGGAGGAACAUCAGUGGCGAAGGCGGCCAUCUGGGACAACACUGACGCUGAGGCACGAAAGCGUGGGGAGCAAACAGGAUUAGAUACCCCUGUAGUCCCUGUCUCUUAUAC